rnacentral:rRNA from 1 species
GAUGAACGCUGACAGAAUGCUUAACACAUGCAAGUCUACUUGAACUUCGGUUUGGGUGGCGGACGGGUGAGUAACGCGUAAAGAACUUGCCUCACAGAUAGGGACAACAUUUGGAAACGAAUGCUAAUACCUGAUAUUAUGAUUUUAGGGCAUCCUAGAAUUAUGAAAGCUAUAUGCACUGUGAGAGAGCUUUGCGUCCCAUUAGCUAGUUGGAGAGGUAACGGCUCACCAAGGCGAUGAUGGGUAGCCGGCCUGAGAGGGUGAUCGGCCACAAGGGGACUGAGACACGGCCCUUACUCCUACGGGAGGCAGCAGUGGGGAAUAUUGGACAAUGGACCAAGAGUCUGAUCCAGCAAUUCUGUGAGCACGAUGAAGUUUUUCGGAAUGUAAAGUGCUUUCAGUUGGGAAGAAAAAAAUGACGGUACCAACAGAAGAAGUGACGGCUAAAUACGUG